UUUUUAUCCAGGAUCCGUACGAUUUACUUGCUGGAUAAGAAAAAAAUCUGUUCUUAUCAGUUUAAUAUCUGGGGACCAUAUAUUAAAUGGAUUUUUCGAACAGGGAGAUGGAAAAAGAGCUUGCUCUGUCCACUCCACGCAUUGACCUGGUAUUGCAGUACCUCCAGGACCGGUGCACCCCUU